rnacentral:snRNA from 1 species
AUACCUUUCUCGGCCUUUUGGCUAAGAUCAAGUGUAGUAUCUGUUCUUAUCAGUUUAAUAUCUGAUAUGUGGGUCAUCGGCCCACUCGAUAUUAAUCUUAUUUUUUAUGGGGAAAGACCCAUCACAAUAGCUGGCUAUUGGGGUCUUUGUCACCUUGGUCUUGCACUACCACCUUGGCCUGGCGCACCCCUC